GCUCCGUUGGUGAACCAGCGGAGGGAUCAUUACCGAGUGCAAACUCAUAACCCUUUGUGAACCUAUAUCUGUUGCUUCGGCGGCCCGCUCUCGGGCGAGCCCGCCGGUAAUAUCAGUAUCUCUGUUUGAACCCGACGAUACUUCUGAGUGUUCUUAGCGAACAGUUAAAACUUUUAACAACGGAUCUCUUGGCUCUA
rnacentral:misc_RNA from 1 species